UUUGAGAUUACAUGCUUCUUUAUAUCUCCAUAUGAAUUGCCUUGCUAUGGAAUGUAAGGAAGUGUGUGGUUUCAAG
rnacentral:pre_miRNA from 11 species